UACGUAGGGGGCAAGCGUUGUCCGGAAUUAUUGGGCGUAAAGAGCGUGUAGGCGGUCCGGUAAGUCGGCUGUGAAAGUCCAGGGCUCAACCCUGGGAUGCCGGUCGAUACUGCCGGACUAGAGUUCGGAAGAGGCGAGUGGAAUUCCCGGUGUAGCGGUGAAAUGCGCAGAUAUCGGGAGGAACACCUAUGGCGAAGGCAGCUCGCUGGGACGUUACUGACGCUGAGACGCGAAAGCGUGGGGAGAAAGCAGG
rnacentral:rRNA from 1 species